rnacentral:rRNA from 1 species
UACGUAGGGUGCGAGCGUUGUCCGGAAUUAUUGGGCGUAAAGAGCUCGUAGGCGGUCUGUCGCGUCGGUCGUGAAAACUUGGGGCUUAACCCUGAGCUUGCGGUCGAUACGGGCAUGACUGGAGUUCGGCAGGGGAGACUGGAAUUCCUGGUGUAGCGGUGAAAUGCGCAGAUAUCAGGAGGAACACCGGUGGCGAAGGCGGGUCUCUGGGCCGAUACUGACGCUGAGGCGCGAAAGCCAGGGGAGCGAACGGG